AGCUUGGCAAAACCAAGCAACUUUUCUGGGUUUUCUUUCUGUUUCCUCCCUCUUUCUAAUGUUUUCAGGCCAUUUGUAAAUCUUAACUUUCCAGUUUUGAUUCUCAAACCAAAGUUCUUUUUUUUUUCUUUUUUGUUUUUAUUUCUCUUUCUCUUUUUUUUUCCUUUGUUUGUUUGGUUUGUUUUUUUCUUAAAUUUCAGCAAUUUCCAGGCAGUGAACCUCUUGCAGCUGACUCUGAAUCUCUUUCUAGCAAUUUGGGAAAGGUCACUAAGAAAAGCAAAAUAAUAAGCGCCACAUCUGAGGUAUUCCCAGAGAAAUCUGUACUGCCAGUGGAAAGCAUUACAGAUCCACAGCUGCAAAAGAGUGAAAACCACAGCUUUACUUCUUUACACAAAAGUGUUUCCUUUAGAAUCGCUUGGACUACAUGGGGAAAGGGCCCCAGGAGAUGCACUGUGACUUUUUAGGAAUGAAACCCACGUUUGACCAAGCAACCAAAAGAAUUCAUCUCUGGAUAGCUACAGGCUUACGGUGCCACCGGGGAAGAGGACACGUUUUGAUCUUUAUGACACCACAGCAGCGGAGAUGCCCAAACCAGGGGACGCUUCUCAUCCCCGCCCGGCUCUGGUUCGUUUGACCGUCUCCCACCCGCCAGCCCGAGGCGCCGCCCCAGCGGUUCACAACGCGCACAAAGAUGCGCGGGCAGCGCUUGCAGCCCGGGGGGUCCGGAGCGGGAGGCACCGGGGCGCGGGGGCCCAGGGCAGCGUGUGAUCCCGGCGAAACAAAACUGCCAAAGCCUCCAGCGCUGCGGGAAACGGGAUGGGGGAUCCCCUGAAUCCCGGCUCUCAGCAGCGCGAAGGCGGCGCGGCGAUGCCCAGCAGCGGUGCUGCGAACGCGGUGAUUGACCCGAUGCCUUACUCCGUGAGGAAUGGUAUUCCAUGUAAACAGUGUCAUCUGCUCCAGACAUCGAGCUCAUUGUGCCUGUUCGACGGGACACCUGCAGCUUUCUUUUUUCCUUUGCAAGUUUUCCCAUCACUAAGCUUUACUGACCCAGAAGACACUUCAUAUUCAUUCACUGGAUACUAUGAUCCAAGGCCCAGAGCCCAACCACCACCUCCUUCACCUUUUUUGGCUCUCAGCACUCGUCCCAGCCUUUGAGCCUCCUGCCUUCGCGACCCACCAUGGGAUGAAAUCUGGAUGAGAACAUUGGCCUCCGGCAGAUCGAAGGACGUGUCACCCACCUAUAACAGAGCAACAGCCUCUAAGCAGGAUCUUAAUUCCAUAUACCCCCAACAAACAAUAAAUACAAAGCACACCUUUCUUUGUUAGUUGCAAUACAAAGAUGUCAAAUGCACACCAUGCAUGUGUAACUUUAUUUGACUCUGAAAACAGGUA